ACGGCUACCACAUCCAAGGAAGGCAGCAGGCGCGCAAAUUACCCAAUCCCGACACGGGGAGGUAGUGACAAUAAAUACUGAUACAGGGCUCUUUUGGGUCUUGUAAUUGGAAUGAGUACAAUUUAAAUCCCUUAACGAGGAACAAUUGGAGGGCAAGUCUGGUGCCAGCAGCCGCGGUAAUUCCAGCUCCAAUAGCGUAUAUUAAAGUUGUUGCAGUUAAAAAGCUCGUAGUUGAACCUUGGGCCUGGCUGGCCGGUCCGCCUCACCGCGUGCACUGGUCCGGCCGGGCCUUUCCUUCUGGGGAGCCGCAUGCCCUUCACUGGGUGUGUCGGGGAACCAGGACUUUUACUUUGAAAAAAUUAGAGUGUUCAAAGCAGGCCUAUGCUCGAAUACAUUAGCAUGGAAUAAUAGAAUAGGACGUGUGGUUCUAUUUUGUUGGUUUCUAGGACCGCCGUAAUGAUUAAUAGGGAUAGUCGGGGGCAUCAGUAUUCAAUUGUCAGAGGUGAAAUUCUUGGAUUUAUUGAAGACUAACUACUGCGAAAGCAUUUGCCAAGGAUGUUUUCAUUAAUCAGUGAACGAAAGUUAGGGGAUCGAAGACGAUUGCGUAAAGCACAUUUUCGGGGCUUGUGGGUUCUAGGGCAUGAUCACAAUUCAUUGAAGACAUAUGAGCGCGGAGACUACUUUAUUGAUAUAGUAGUCUAGCAAGUCCGAACUUUUAUGGUCCUCCUACAUAUGAAUUGUGAGAGUGCGUUGGAGCCUCUGGCCUU
rnacentral:rRNA from 1 species